UACGAAGGGGGGCUAGCGUUGUUCGGAUUUACUGGGCGUAAAGCGCACGUAGGCGGAUCGAUCAGUCAGGGGUGAAAUCCCAGAGCUUAACUCUGGAACUGCCUUUGAUACUGUCGAUCUGGAGUAUGGAAGAGGUGAGUGGAAUUCCGAGUGUAGAGGUGAAAUUCGUAGAUAUUCGGAGGAACACCAGUGGCGAAGGCGGCUCACUGGUCCAUUACUGACGCUGAGGUGCGAAAGCGUGGGGAGCAAACAGG
rnacentral:rRNA from 1 species